rnacentral:rRNA from 1 species
CGGAGGAUCCAAGCGUUAUCCGGAAUCAUUGGGUUUAAAGGGUCCGUAGGCGGUUUUGUAAGUCAGUGGUGAAAGCCCAUCGCUCAACGGUGGAACGGCCAUUGAUACUGCAAGACUUGAAUUAUUGGGAAGCAACUAGAAUAUGUAGUGUAGCGGUGAAAUGCUUAGAUAUUACAUGGAAUACCAAUUGCGAAGGCAGGUUGCUACCAAUACAUUGACGCUGAUGGACGAAAGCGUGGGGAGCGAACAGGAUUAGAUACCCUGGUAGUCCACGCCGUAAACGAUGGAUACUAGCUGUUCGGAGCAAUCUGAGUGGCUAAGCGAAAGUGAUAAGUAUCCCACCUGGGGGAGUACGUUCGCAAGAAUG